AGAGUCGAUUGGGCAGUCGCUGUUCCCUUUCAUCCGAAAGGGGAGGGAGGAAAGUCCGGGCUCCAUAGGGCGAAGUGCCAGGUAACGCCUGGGAGGUGUGAGCCUACGGAAAGUGCCACAGAAAAUAACCGCCUAAGUACGCAAGUGCCGGUAAGGGUGAAAAGGUGCGGUAAGAGCGCACCGCACGGCUGGCAACAGUUCGUGGCUAGGUAAACCCCACUUGGAGCAAGACCAAAUAGGGAUCCAUUGGCGUGGCCCGCGCUGGAUCCGGGUAGGUUGCUAAAGAUAGUCAGUGAUGGCCAUCGUAGAGGAAUGACUGUCCUCGACAGAACCCGGCUUAUAGAUCGACUCUCCGA
rnacentral:RNase_P_RNA from 1 species